UUCCCUGGAAAGGGGCGCCAGAG
rnacentral:snRNA from 1 species